AGCCCUGUUUACGCUGAGGUGAAGACAGGAUCUGCUGCAGAUGACGGUCUAACGUAUGCUCAGGUUAACCAUGACAUUAAAGGCAAAGCCAAGAAACACAAAGGAAAAUCAGCUCCUGCAGCAACUGAUGAAGCUGUUUAUUCUGAAGUUAAACCAGGAACAGCUCAUGGUCUGUAAAGACAGCUGUGUGGACAAGGCCAAAUAAAUAUGCAUUUUAUAACCAUUGUGUGCAUCUCUGCUAUCCAAAUAUCAGCCAUGCUCAAUGCUUAGUACAGUUAAUAUAAUAAGAUUAUAUGAAAUAAAUACAUCAUGUGGAUUUAAUACUUUGUUUUUUUAGCAGAAAGCACAAGACUACUGAGGGUUAUGUAGUUUUUAUGCACUGUAUUAUUAUUUAUUUAUUUAGUAUAUAUUUGUACAGCUAUUUUGUUAUUUAAUUUUAAAAAGUUUAAUAGCAGCUAUUUCAGAAAGCAGCAGGAGGUAUCAGUUUGAAAUGUGUAAAUGAUAUUAACCAGGUGAUACUGCAGCUUUAAAAUCAGCAUAUUUUUCAGUGGUAGAUGAAAAAGCUUCAGGAUGGACGUCAACAGUUACUUUUGUAUUUGUAAUAAACUGCUAUCAAAUGUUACAUGUAAGUUUUUCUGUUAUUAUACUGGAAAGUUUUCAUGAAUUUACUGGUGAUAUAUGUGCUUCAAUGUUUUUGGCAUCA